rnacentral:sRNA from 1 species
AAGAAUGGGAGUCCGAACUUAUGAGCGUCGAAAAGUUUGAGAUUGUUACCGAUCAUAAGAACUUAGAGUACUUCACGACCACUCGUAAGCUCACUGAAAGGCAUAUGCGUUGGUCAUUGUUCCUUAGCCGUUUUUCGUUCACAAUUCGUUAUCGACCUGGAGUAGAGAACACCCUUGCGGAUGCCCUGUCCCGCCGAGAACAAGAUAUGCCAUCUGAUGACUUGGACGACAGGUGGAAACACCGAGAGCAUCGAUUAAUCGACCCUGCAAUCAUAGAAAGUCCUACGCAACCAGACGAACCCCGCGUACAUGUCAACCAGUCCCGAGCUCAAGAACCCUCGCUCGAAGAACAAUGGAAGCUAGCGGCAGAAGCAGAUGAAUCCUGG